rnacentral:lncRNA from 1 species
AUCCUCAUGUAUCUUAAGCACACGAAAGAGAAUCAUAAACCAAGUUUUAGUACAAGGUUUCAAUGAAAGCUGCUGGUGGCUGCACGCCCUGAGAAGUGAAGGUGGCUUUCUGCUAUACAGUGAUGAUGUGAAAAAUGCUGCUCUUCACCUUAGAGCUACAAGGACCGUCAGCGACUGGGCUGUCCUGUGAGACCUGAGGAAAAAGGGCUGUUUGAAACGAUAGGAAGGGACUCAGCCUG